rnacentral:rRNA from 1 species
UACAGAGGGUGCAAGCGUUGUUCGGAAUUAUUGGGCGUAAAGCGCGUGUAGGCGGCUUUGCAAGUCGGGUGUGAAAGCCCUCAGCUCAACUGAGGAAGUGCGCCCGAAACUGCAGAGCUUGAGUACCGGAGAGGAUGGCGGAAUUCCCGAAGUAGAGGUGAAAUUCGUAGAUAUCGGGAGGAACACCUGUGGCGAAGGCGGCCCCCUGGGCCGGCCCUGACACUGAGACGCGAAGGCGUGGGGAGCGAACGGG